rnacentral:rRNA from 12 species
CAAAGGACUCUUAAAAGCUGCGGCUAAAAAAACAAAAAAAGGAAAAAAUUUUAGAGAAAAUGUAAAUGGAAAAAAUCAGAGAAAAAUCGAGGAGAAUUCCUUCUCGAUU